rnacentral:rRNA from 1 species
GUAGUCCACGCCCUAAACGAUGGAUACUCGAUGUCGGGUCGCAAGGCCCGGUGUCCAAGCUAACGCGUUAAGUAUCCCACCUGGGGAGUACGAUCGCAAGGUUGAAACUCAAAGGAAUUGACGGGGGCCCGCACAAGCAGUGGAGCAUGUGGUUCAAUUCGAUGCAACGCGAAGAACCUUACCUGGGUUUGAAAGGCCAGUGACACCCGAUGAAAGUCGGUCUUGUAGCAAUACACACUGGUACAGGUGCUGCAUGGCUGUCGUCAGCUCGUGCCGUGAGGUGUUAGGUUAAGUCCUGCAACGAGCGCAACCCCUGCACUUAGUUGCCAUCAGGUUAAGCUGGGCACUCUAAGUGGACUGCCUACGCAAGUAGUGA